rnacentral:tRNA from 2 species
GGAGAGGUGGCCGAGUGGCUGAAGGCAACCGCCUGCUAAGCGGUUGUAGGGAAUAACCCCCUACCGAGGGUUCGAAUCCCUCCCUCUCCGCCA